rnacentral:tRNA from 1 species
GUAGAUUUAGGUUAAUUAUAAACUUUUAGUUUUCAAAACUAAAGAUAUUAUUCUAUU